rnacentral:pre_miRNA from 1 species
UAAUGAUGAUGAUGAUGAUGAUGAUGAUGAUGAUGGUGAUGAUAAUGAUAAUGAUAAUACUUUUUUUUUAGUGAACGAAGUUACCAAUCUGACACAAAAUUUCAGAAAAUCAUAAAAAAAAAAUCCCACCACCACCACCGCCAUCAUCGCCAUCAUCGCCAUCAUCAUCAUCAUUAUUA